GCUUCUUCUUCUACCUAUCCAACAAUAAUUCAAUUCAAAUGCAAAUGGGUUGUACGUUGUUGGGUGCUAAUCACUCUCUCAAUCCAAAACCCAGUCAAGUCUGCCUCUCUCUCUCUCAAACGACCUCCGCGUGCGUCUCCAAUACUGCUCCUCUCUCUCAAUCAAAACUCUCUUCUUUUUAGUCUGGGUUGUUACAAAAUCCGACGACGAUAAUCAAAUAACUGCCUGCUCCCCACCCACUUUUUUUCAUCCUGCAAACUGCAACACUCUGCACGUGAAACUUUCAGGUUUGCUCAUAUGCUUGAUUUUGCAAAGAGGAUAUCUUGGUUUCAUAUUAUUUAUAUUGGGAUACUGGAUGGUAGUUUUAGGUUAAUCUAGAACUUAUUGCAUGGACUUCUUGGACUUCUUAUAAUAAGUUUCAAUUUAUUCAGUAGCAAGCAGCUUUGGAGGACAGUAAAAAUAAGGUUGAUAAAGCUUUUCUGAAGCAGCUCAAACUGUUCCAGAGUUAAUUUUUUCAACUUAGCUUUCAUUUUGUUAUUAAGAUUUGGUUGUAUUCAAUUUAAUUGUGAUUUGUAUUCUUAUGGAUUUUGUGGCAAUUUUGGUUGAAAGAACAGGGAAUGGUAAGAGACUUGGAAAGGGAGGAUUUCAGACAUGAAAGCUUUGGAAAUGUUAUCCCCUCAAGCAAUCAUGUGGAUCUGGGAUCCUAGCUGAUGGUCGGCUUGCUGAUUUGAUCUGAAGAGUUGCUACGUUUGGGAUGGUAUUAAUGAAAGCUCGACUUGCGCUAGAUGUGCUUUUAUUUUAUUGUAGAAGAAGUUGCUACCCCAGGCUGAGCUUGGCUUCCUCAACAUAGGAAGCCGCCCCUCAAGAAGAAAGAGCUCUGCUGGAAUUGGACAUCUUCGGGCAAUUCCAUGGGUGUUUGCAUGGACUCAAACCAGAUUUGUCUUCCAGCUUGGCUUGGAGUUAAACCCCUUGUUGAUCUUUUUGUGAGAGCAUCAAACACACCAGCCAUAAAGAUGUAUGGGAAGAGUCCCAUAUUGAAUCUGUCAUUCUUGCCAAGAUUAUAGGAGCUAUGCAGACGCCAUCCCUUGGAUGAGAAAUUAUAAUGGUGUUUGGGUGCUAUAUUUUUACAUUUAGACUCAUGAAGAUCUAUCAGUGAUUGUCAUCCUUCCCAAAGGUUUCUUUUAGGGUAUGUUUCUGUGGAAUCUGACAAAAGAAGAGAAUUGUUUUCAACACUCUCAAGUUCAACAAUGUGAUGCUUAGAAGCACAAAAUUGGUUCAUAGUUCAAGUGGUGACUUAGAAUGAUUUAUUGGGCAAUUCUUUACAUUCCUAGAAAGACUUUUAUUUCGAGCAGUAAAACAUUUCAAAAUUGUCAUGAUGUAAUUUGGUCGGAAUUUGCUUU